CUCACUGUUGACAGGCCUUUCUUAAGCACAGACCCAGUGAAGCCAUUUUCUCUGCCAGAAGGCUCCAGUGGGUCUUGGACCACGGGACAAAGAAUGACAAAUGCUCAGCAUGUGGGUGGCUGCUCCCACUCCUGGCUUGCAGGGCACACUUGUUCAAUAAAGCUGCUUUCAGCAGGGGAAACUUUCCAGCGUGGCUCUCCAGGUAGCCAAUACUUAGGCUGCUUUUCAUUUCUAAGAAAAGAAAUCAAUUCUAAAGAUAGACAACGAUGAGCAACUACUUAUCUGUGCGAUGGAGAUCAUGGCAGAGGCCAGAAGUGAGUAGAGUCGAAAAGAACUGGUGAACAAAACCUGAACUGGCUUCCAGUGGCUCCCUGCAGAGGCGCCCUGCACAAAUGCCAAAAAGCAGAGUGGAGUC